UAAUCCACGCCCUAAACGAUGUUAACUCGUCAUUGGUGAUAUUUACUAUCAGUGACCAAGCGAAAGCGUUAAGUUAACCACCUGGGGAGUACGUUCGCAAGAAUGAAACUCAAAGGAAUUGACGGGGGUCCGCGCAAGCGGUGGAGCAUGUGGUUUAAUUCGAUGAUACGCGAGGAACCUUACCUGGGCUCGAAUGGAUAUGGACAGUUUUGAGAAAUCAAUUCCUUCCUUCGGGACUGUAUUCAAGGUGCUGCAUGGUUGUCGUCAGCUCGUGCCGUGAGGUGUUGGGUUAAGUCCCGCAACGAGCGCAACCCUUGUCUCCAGUUGCCAGCACAUAAUGGUGGGGACUCUGGAGAGACUGCCGGCGCAAGCCGUGAGGAAGGUGGGGAUGACGUCAAAUCAUCAUGGCCUUUAUGCCUGGGGCCACACACGUGCUACAAUGGUAGGUACAGAGGGCAGCCAAACCGCGAGGUUGAGCAAAUCCCUUAAAGCCUAUCCCAGUUCGGAUUGG
rnacentral:rRNA from 1 species